rnacentral:rRNA from 1 species
UGCGUAGGUGGCGAUGUAAGUCUGGUGUGAAAUCUCGGGGCUCAACCCCGAAAUUGCAUCGGAUACUGCGUUGCUUGAGGAUUGUAGAGGAGAGUGGAAUUCACGGUGUAGCAGUGAAAUGCGUAGAUAUCGUGAGGAAGACCAGUUGCGAAGGCGACUCUCUGGGCAACUCCUGACACUGAGGCACGAAGGCUAGGGGAGCAAACG